rnacentral:rRNA from 1 species
UUGCAAGUCAGAUGUGAAAGCCUUCUGUUCAACGGGAGAAUUGCAUCUGAAACUGCUAAUCUUGAGUAUAGGAUGGGAGAAUGGAACUUCUGGUGGAGCGGUGAAAUGCGUAGAUAUCAGAAGGAACGCCGGCGGCGAAAGCGAUUCUCUGGCCUAUUACUGACACUCAGUGUGCGAAAGCUAGGGGAGCAAACGGGAUUAGAUACCCCGGUAGUCCUAGCCGUAAACGAUGGGCACUAAGUAGAGGGGAUUACCUAUGUUCUCUCUGCCGUAGCUAACGCAUUAAGUGCCCCGCCUGGGGAGUACGGCCGCAAGGCUAAAACUCAAAAGAAUUGACGGGGGCUCGCACAAGCGGUGGAGCAUGUGGCUUAAUUCGAUGCAACGCGAAAAACCUUACCGGGGCUUGACAUGAUAGAAGUAGGAACCUGAAAGGGGGACGAACGGUAUCCAGUCCGUAGCUAUUACAGGUGUUGCAUGGCUGUCGUCAGCUCGUGUCGUGAGACGUUGGGUUAAGUCCCCUAACGAGCGAAACCCUUGUUUUUAGUUACCAGCGGGUUAUGCCGGGUACUCUAGAAAGACUGCCGUCGUCAAGACGGAGGAAGGUGGGGAUGACGUCAAGUCAUCAUGGCCCUUAUGCCCCGGGCUGCACACGUGCUACAAUGGUCAGUACAGACGGAAGCGAAG